CACGUCCAUAUAAUAAACUCCACAGGCAUGAAAACUGAGAAUUCAGUAGACUAGACAUUGCUGUCGCUCACGGUGAAAGAAUUUUGUCAAUACGACUUUUACUUUUCAUUUGGGAACGAUUUGUUUCGGCCUGACUUUUCUGUUCAUUUUAAGCAGCAAAAGUGAGGCGCAUGUCUGUGUACGUGUGUAUGGAGCCAUUGGGUGCGGUCACUAUAGCAACCAGGCUCACACCUGCCUGCUUAACGAGCUCUGCCUGCCACUGUACCAAGAUUCAUCUUAAGCACUUCUCUUUCAACUGCUGCUGUGUCCACAGUGUUACAGCCAUCAUUUUACCCUCAAAUUGUCGCCAUUAUUGUUCUCUUUCCAACACCGUAUCUUUCAAAGCUCAGGCAUUUAAACUUUUUAAACUGUGUGUAUCAAAGUGGAGGGAUCACAUUUGAGUCAUUCAGUGAUUCAAAGAAUAUGACCUUUUAAUAUUCAUUCAGAUGUUUUCUGACUCUAAAUGUUCUUUUCUCAUUUCUUAGGGUUUUCUAAUUUACAUUUAAAACAUUUUCAGUUUUUUUCCAACUCCUUCUUCUGUGUAACCUUCAGCUUUUAGCAGUUCAGCACCUUUGUUUUCAGGUUAAAUUCGUUUUUUUUUGUUGUUUUUUUUUAUCUCAUUCAAUAUUUUUAACUCAAAAUUCAGCAAUUAAUUCAUUUCAGUGCAUACAUUCAGAUUCAAGCAUUCACACUGCAGUUUCUUCAGAAAAUGCACUUUCUAGUUAUAUUUUAUUUUUCCGUACGUUUUUUGAAAGCCUACUCCUUCAAAACCGUUCAACUUAGAAAAACCAUUCAAACAUCGUUAGAUUCCUAUUAUUUUGGACAACAUUGCUUCUAUUUUUCUCAUUUUUAACAUUUAUAUUUUUAAUUUUAUUCAACUUUAUUCAACAAAAAUUUCCCAUGUAUUUCAAUGGGGAGACCCUUCAAAUUCUCAUUCAACUUACUCAUUUUUAAACUCUUACUACUUCAACAUACGUUCACAUAGAGCCACCAUUCAAACUUUAAAACGAAGACAAGACAUUCAACUAUUCAACUUGUAUUUAUCUUUUCAAUAUCUAUUAUACUUUUUCUUCAGUUCCAGUUUAAGUUUCAUGAUGUUUUUUCACCCGUUUCAGAGUUUAUAAUGGGUGUGUAUGGGACGGAAUGUUGGGGCUAGAGUGAGGCAGCUCAACUGCUAGAGUGAGAGGAGCAAAAAAAUUAAUCUUAAAAUAUUUUUUAAAACUGCUGCUGUGUCUGCAGCGUUUGCUCUACAGGUAUGAUUUUACCCUCAAAACGUAGCCAUGGCUGUCCUCUUUCAUCCAAUGUGUUUACUAUUGUACUAGGUGUUAUGGUUCUUUCAUAAAUGUCACCAAUGCACAGCCUCCUCCCUCCAACUCUUC
ensembl:lncRNA